rnacentral:rRNA from 2 species
AGACCCGAAACCCGGUGAUCUAGCCAUGGGCAGGUUGAAGGUUGGGUAACACUAACUGGAGGACCGAACCGACUAAUGUUGAAAAAUUAGCGGAUGACCUGUGGCUGGGGGUGAAAGGCCAAUCAAACCGGGAGAUAGCUGGUUCUCCCCGAAAGCUAUUUAGGUAGCGCCUCGUGAAUUCAUCUCCGGGGGUAGAGCACUGUUUCGGCUAGGGGGCCAUCCCGGCUUACCAACCCGAUGCAAACUGCGAAUACCGGAGAAUGUUAUCACGGGAGACACACGGCGGGUGCUAACGUCCGUCGUGAAGAGGGAAACAACCCAGACCGCCAGCUAAGGUCCCAAAGUCAUGGUUAAGUGGGAAACGAUGUGGGAAGGCCCAGACAGCCAGGAUGUUGGCUUAGAAGCAGCCAUCAUUUAAAGAAAGCGUAAUAGCUCACUGGUCGAGUCGGCCUGCGCGGAAGAUGUAACGGGGCUAAACCAUGCACCGAAGCUGCGGCAGCGACACUGUGUGUUGUUGGGUAGGGGAGCGUUCUGUAAGCCUGUGAAGGUGUGUCGUGAGGCAUGCUGGAGGUAUCAGAAGUGCGAAUGCUGACAUAAGUAACGAUAAAGCGGGUGAAAAGCCCGCUCGCCGGAAGACCAAGGGUUCCUGUCCAACGUUAAUCGGGGCAGGGUGAGUCGACCCCUAAGGCGAGGCCGAAAGGCGUAGUCGAUGGGAAACGGGUUAAUAUUCCCGUACUUGGUGUUACUGCGAAGGGGGGACGGAGAAGGCUAUGUUGGCCGGGCGACGGUUGUCCCGGUUUAAGCGUGUAGGUGUGUGUUCCAGGUAAAUCCGGUUCACUUUAACACUGAGGCGUGACGACGAGGCACUACGGUGCUGAAGCAACAAAUGCCCUGCUUCCAGGAAAAGCCUCUAAGCAUCAGGUAACAUCAAAUCGUACCCCAAACCGACACAGGUGGUCAGGUAGAGAAUACCAAGGCGCUUGAGAGAACUCGGGUGAAGGAACUAGGCAAAAUGGUGCCGUAACUUCGGGAGAAGGCACGCUGACACGUAGGUGAAGUGAUUUACUCAUGGAGCUGAAGUCAGUCGAAGAUACCAGCUGGCUGCAACUGUUUAUUAAAAACACAGCACUGUGCAAACACGAAAGUGGACGUAUACGGUGUGACGCCUGCCCGGUGCCGGAAGGUUAAUUGAUGGGGUCAGCGCAAGCGAAGCUCCUGAUCGAAGCCCCGGUAAACGGCGGCCGUAACUAUAACGGUCCUAAGGUAGCGAAAUUCCUUGUCGGGUAAGUUCCGACCUGCACGAAUGGCGUAAUGAUGGCCAGGCUGUCUCCACCCGAGACUCAGUGAAAUUGAACUCGCUGUGAAGAUGCAGUGUACCCGCGGCAAGACGGAAAGACCCCGUGAACCUUUACUAUAGCUUGACACUGAACAUUGAGCCUUGAUGUGUAGGAUAGGUGGGAGGCUUUGAAGCGUGGACGCCAGUCUGCGUGGAGCCGACCUUGAAAUACCACCCUUUAAUGUUUGAUGUUCUAACGUGGACCCGUGAUCCGGGUUGCGGACAGUGUCUGGUGGGUAGUUUGACUGGGGCGGUCUCCUCCUAAAGAGUAACGGAGGAGCACGAAGGUUGGCUAAUCCUGGUCGGACAUCAGGAGGUUAGUGCAAUGGCAUAAGCCAGCUUGACUGCGAGCGUGACGGCGCGAGCAGGUGCGAAAGCAGGUCAUAGUGAUCCGGUGGUUCUGAAUGGAAGGGCCAUCGCUCAACGGAUAAAAGGUACUCCGGGGAUAACAGGCUGAUACCGCCCAAGAGUUCAUAUCGACGGCGGUGUUUGGCACCUCGAUGUCGGCUCAUCACAUCCUGGGGCUGAAGUAGGUCCCAAGGGUAUGGCUGUUCGCCAUUUAAAGUGGUACGCGAGCUGGGUUUAGAACGUCGUGAGACAGUUCGGUCCCUAUCUGCCGUGGGCGCUGGAGAACUGAGGGGGGCUGCUCCUAGUACGAGAGGACCGGAGUGGACGCAUCACUGGUGUUCGGGUUGUCAUGCCAAUGGCACUGCCCGGUAGCUAAAUGCGGAAGAGAUAAGUGCUGAAAGCAUCUAAGCACGAAACUUGCCCCGA